UUACAAGACACAUGGAGACAUUCUUGAGACUGUCGGUUGGAAAAGAAAACGUGGGGACAACUGGAUAAAUAUCACCCACCAGCUGUACUCUAUUUUCUCUUUUCCUUCCUUAUCCCUCUGUUUAAAAUUUUCACCAUUAUAUUAAAGCCAAAUAAUUUAGGUAAAAUAACCAACUAACCAAGGAAGCAAGUAGUAAGAAGGGUUCCGACUUUGAUUCCUUUGUCCCACGAUGAAAUCCUCUUUGCCCUUUCUUUCUUUCUUUUUUUUUUUUCUUCUUUUUUUUCUUUCUUUCUUCCUUUUUUCUUUUUUUUUCUUUUUUAAUACUAAGGCAUGAUCCCAUGCAUCACACUAUAUAUAAACCACAUUCUACACAAACCCAAUCAAAACAUUAGAAAAGGCAUUUAAUCUUAUAUAAUUAAAAAAAAAAAACCAAGGUGUUCAAUACAAUAAGGCGGUGGAAGGCCUAGGUCCCCAUAAAA